rnacentral:rRNA from 1 species
ACGAACGCUGGCGGCAGGCCUAACCCAUGCAAGUCGAGCGAGGACUUCGGUUCUAGCGGCGGACGGGUGAGUAACGCGUGGGAAUGUGCCCUUCUCUACGGAAUAGCCCUGGGAAACUGGGAGUAAUACCGUAUACGCCCUAUUGGGGAAAGAUUUAUCGGAGAAGGAUCAGCCCGCGUUGGAUUAGGUAGUUGGUGGGGUAAUGGCCUACCAAGCCGACGAUCCAUAGCUGGUUUGAGAGGAUGAUCAGCCACACUGGGACUGAGACACGGCCCAGACUCCUACGGGAGGCAGCAGUGGGAAAUCUUAGACAAUGGGGGCAACCCUGAUCUAGCCAUGCCGCGUGAGUGAUGAAGGCCUUAGGGUUGUAAAGCUCUUUCAGCUGGGAAGAUAAUGACGGUACCAGCAGAAGAAGCCCCGGCUAACUCCGUG